rnacentral:rRNA from 1 species
GAUGAACGCUGGCGGCGUGCCUAAUACAUGCAAGUCGAGCGGUAAGGCCACUUCGGUGGUACACGAGCGGCGGACGGCUGAGUAACACGUAGGAACGUACCCCAAACUGAGGCAUAAGCACCAGAAAUGGUGUCUAAUACCGCAUGUGCUCUUCGGAGUAAAGCUACGGCGGUUUGGGAACGGCCUGCGCAUGAUUAGCUUGUUGGUGAGGUAAUAGCUCACCAAGGCGACGAUCAUUAGCUGGUCUGAGAGGAUGAUCAGCCAGACUGGGACUGAGAACGGCCCAGACUCCUACGGGAGGCAGCAGUAGGGAAUUUUCCACAAUGGGCGAAAGCCUGAUGGAGCAACGCCGCGUGCAGGAU